GUUUGUUUAUUAUCAACAUGCACAUAAAUGGUCAAACUGAGGUAGAAAUUUAUACAUCAUAUCCCUGAGGUAGAACUUGUAUAAUCAACGAAUCAAAAAUCCUUUUACAUCUAUUAUACAGAAAUUUUGGAAAAAUGAAACGCACUAAUCUAUUUACCAUUAUAAAAUAUUUUGAAAUAUUAAUUGUAAGAUAUAAUUGUCAUUUAUUUAUUUUAACCAUGUGAAGAAAGGGAAACAAUUUUAAUUAUCUCCCUUUAAUACUUAGGAUUAAAGCAAGUUAAUUUUUAUCAUUACGCUGCAAUAUGAGUAAACAAUUGCAUAAACUUUCCGUUAAUAUUGUUAAUAUAAAGUUUUAAAUGUUGCAAAGCACAAUUUUUUUCUGAUAGAAAUUAAAUGAACAUUAUAGUUCUUUAUGCAUUCUAUCUUGUUAAAUUCUUUCAAAAUUUCUGUAUAAAAGAUGUACUUCAAGCUGUAUAAGAACUUGAUGGAUCAUUGAUUCGAUAUAUAAUAAAAAAUAUCAUUAUUGUACAAAACAUUAACAUAUUUACAAGGCAGGAAUCAACAAAUGUAAUCACUCCUAUGGAUUUUACAUCUUUACCCGUAAUCUGAACUUGAUUUUAAUGAUCUUGAAUAAUCAUGAAAUAUAUGUUUAACACCUAAGUAAAAGAAAUAUAUGAAGUUUGUGAUAUUGAAGAUUUUGUCACUGAAUAUUGUGAGGUUAUAGUAAAAAAGAUGAAACACUAAUUCUUCAAGAUAAAAUAACUGAUAUGUUCCUGCAUUGGUAAAGAAAAAUGUGGGCUAAAU
rnacentral:lncRNA from 1 species